rnacentral:rRNA from 1 species
UACGUAGGUCCCGAGCGUUGUCCGGAUUUAUUGGGCGUAAAGCGAGCGCAGGUGGUUUAUUAAGUCUAGUGUAAAAGGCAGUGGCUCAACCAUUGUAUGCAUUGGAAACUGGUAGACUUGAGUGCAGGAGAGGAGAGUGGAAUUCCAUGUGUGGCGGUGAAAUGCGUAGAUAUAUGGAGGAACACCGGUGGCGAAAGCGGCUCUCUGGCCUGUAACUGACACUGAGGCUCGAAAGCGUGGGGAGCAAACAGG